rnacentral:rRNA from 1 species
CACGUAGGGCGCGAGCGUUGUCCGGAAUUAUUGGGCGUAAAGAGCUCGUAGGCGGCCUGUUGCGUCCGCUGUGAAAGCCCGGGGCUUAACCCCGGGUCUGCAGUGGAUACGGGCAGGCUAGAGGUAGGUAGGGGAGAAUGGAAUUCCCGGUGUAGCGGUGAAAUGCGUAGAUAUCGAGAGGAACACCAGUGGCGAAGGCGAGUCCCUGGACAGGUCCUGACGCUGAGGCACGAAAGCUAGGGGAGCAAACAGG